rnacentral:rRNA from 1 species
UACGGAGGGUGCGAGCGUUGUCCGGAAUCAUUGGGCGUAAAGGGCGCGUAGGCGCCUGGCAAGUGGAAGGUGAAAUCCCUCGGCUUAACCGAGGAACUGCCUCCCAAACUGCUUGGCUUGAGACCGGGAGAGGUGAGUGGAAUUCCCAGUGUAGCGGUGAAAUGCGUAGAUAUUGGGAGGAACACCAGUGGCGAAGGCGGCUCACUGGACCGGUACUGACGCUGAUGCGCGAAAGCGUGGGGAGCAAACGGG